GCUUGCUUUGGCAGUGCAUAUACUAAAAUUGUAACAACACAGAGAAGGUUAGCAUGGACCCUGUCCAAGAAUGGCACACAAAUUCAUGAAGAAUUCCAUGUUUUA